rnacentral:rRNA from 1 species
UGAACUCGAAGAGUAGGGCGGGACACGUGGUAUCCUGUCUGAAUAUGGGGGGACCAUCCUCCAAGGCUAAAUACUCCUGACUGACCGAUAGUGAACCAGUACCGUGAGGGAAAGGCGAAAAGAACCCCGGCGAGGGGAGUGAAAAAGAACCUGAAACCGUGUACGUACAAGCAGUGGGAGCACCUUCGGGUGUGACUGCGUACCUUUUGUAUAAUGGGUCAGCGACUUAUAUUCUGUAGCAAGGUUAACCGUAUAGGGGAGCCGCAGGGAAACCGAGUCUUAACUGGGCGUUAAGUUGCAGGGUAUAGACCCGAAACCCGGUGAUCUAGCCAUGGGCAGGUUGAAGGUUGGGUAACACUAACUGGAGGACCGAACCGACUAAUGUUGAAAAAUUAGCGGAUGACUUGUGGCUGGGGGUGAAAGGCCAAUCAAACCGGGAGAUAGCUGGUUCUCCCCGAAAGCUAUUUAGGUAGCGCCUCGUGAAUUCAUCUUCGGGGGUAGAGCACUGUUUCGGCUAGGGGGUCAUCCCGACUUACCAACCCGAUGCAAACUACGAAUACCGAAGAAUGUUAUCACGGGAGACACACGGCGGGUGCUAACGUCCGUCGUGAAGAGGGAAACAACCCAGACCGCCAGCUAAGGUCCCAAAGUCAUGGUUAAGUGGGAAACGAUGUGGGAAGGCACAGACAGCCAGGAUGUUGGCUUAGAAGCAGCCAUCAUUUAAAGAAAGCGUAAUAGCUCACUGGUCGAGUCGGCCUGCGCGGAAGAUGUAACGGGGCUAAACCAUGCACCGAAGCUGCGGCAGCGACACUAUGUGUUGUUGGGUAGGGGAGCGUUCUGUAAGCCUGCGAAGGUGUGCUGUGAGGCAUGCUGGAGGUAUCAGAAGUGCGAAUGCUGACAUAAGUAACGAUAAAGCGGGUGAAAAGCCCGCUCGCCGGAAGACCAAGGGUUCCUGUCCAACGUUAAUCGGGGCAGGGUGAGUCGACCCCUAAGGCGAGGCCGAAAGGCGUAGUCGAUGGGAAACAGGUUAAUAUUCCUGUACUUGGUGUUACUGCGAAGGGGGGACGGAGAAGGCUAUGUUAGCCGGGCGACGGUUGUCCCGGUUUAAGCAUGUAGGCUGAUUGUCCAGGCAAAUCCGGAUAAUCAAGGCUGAGGUGUGAUGACGAGGCACUACGGUGCUGAAGUAACAAAUGCCCUGCUUCCAGGAAAAGCCUCUAAGCAUCAGGUAACAUCAAAUCGUACCCCAAACCGACACAGGUGGUCAGGUAGAGAAUACCAAGGCGCUUGAGAGAACUCGGGUGAAGGAACUAGGCAAAAUGGUGCCGUAACUUCGGGAGAAGGCACGCUGGUGUGUAGGUGAAGUCCCUGCGGAUGGAGCUGAGACCAGUCGAAGAUACCAGCUGGCUGCAACUGUUUAUUAAAAACACAGCACUGUGCAAACACGAAAGUGGACGUAUACGGUGUGACGCCUGCCCGGUGCCGGAAGGUUAAUUGAUGGGGUUAUCCGUAAGGAGAAGCUCUUGAUCGAAGCCCCGGUAAACGGCGGCCGUAACUAUAACGGUCCUAAGGUAGCGAAAUUCCUUGUCGGGUAAGUUCCGACCUGCACGAAUGGCGUAAUGAUGGCCAGGCUGUCUCCACCCGAGACUCAGUGAAAUUGAACUCGCUGUGAAGAUGCAGUGUACCCGCGGCAAGACGGAAAGACCCCGUGAACCUUUACUAUAGCUUGACACUGAACAUUGAGCCUUGAUGUGUAGGAUAGGUGGGAGGCUUUGAAGCGUGGACGCCAGUCUGCGUGGAGCCAACCUUGAAAUACCACCCUUUAAUGUUUGAUGUUCUAACGUUGGCCCCUUACCGGGGUUGCGGACAGUGUCUGGUGGGUAGUUUGACUGGGGCGGUCUCCUCCCAAAGCGUAACGGAGGAGCACGAAGGUUAGCUAAUCCUGGUCGGACAUCAGGAGGUUAGUGCAAUGGCAUAAGCUAGCUUGACUGCGAGCGUGACGGCGCGAGCAGGUGCGAAAGCAGGUCAUAGUGAUCCGGUGGUUCUGAAUGGAAGGGCCAUCGCUCAACGGAUAAAAGGUACUCCGGGGAUAACAGGCUGAUACCGCCCAAGAGUUCAUAUCGACGGCGGUGUUUGGCACCUCGAUGUCGGCUCAUCACAUCCUGGGGCUGAAGUAGGUCCCAAGGGUAUGGCUGUUCGCCAUUUAAAGUGGUACGCGAGCUGGGUUUAGAACGUCGUGAGACAGUUCGGUCCCUAUCUGCCGUGGGCGCUGGAGAAUUGAGGGGGGCUGCUCCUAGUACGAGAGGACCGGAGUGGACGCAUCACUGGUGUUCGGGUUGUCAUGCCAAUGGCACUGCCCGGUAGCUAAAUGCGGAAGAGAUAAGUGCUGAAAGCAUCUAAGCACGAAACUUGCCCCGAGAUGAGUUCUCCCUGAGACUUUAAGUCUCCUGAAGGAACGUUGAAGACGACGACGUUGAUAGGCCGGGUGUGUAAGCGCAGCGAUGCGUUGAGCUAACCGGUACUAAUGAACCGUGAGGCUUAACCUU